UCUCUCCUUGGAUUGCAAACAGCCACCCUCUUGCUGCUUCUUCAUGUAGCUCUGUGUCUACAUGCCCCUGGUUGUUUUCUUUCUCAACUGUGAUCUGGAAAUGUACAACUAGAGGAUCUCAAUAAAUGCUUCAAUGUGUGACCGGCUAAUUUUAUUAACAUCAGUUCUCUCUGAAAUGAUGCUGCAUUUACUUGGUAACAGAAAGAAGUGGCGUGAGUGAAGAAGCUGUGGGUACAACCUGGUGUUUAUCAAAGUUACAGGAAUUGGGUUAUAUCACUUCCUGGGGAAUGUAUCAAAGAUGCAUCUGAUAUGACAUCUCAGGAAAUCUGUUCUGAAAUCUAUUUGGAUAAAAGGAGACAAUACAUAUAAAGAAUAAAAUAUAUACUGGAUUGUGAAACAGAGGAACUAUAAGCCAGCAUAAAG